CAGUCGUACCUUCGGGUAAUCAGCCUUUCGGGUGCGAUUCUGUGGAGUUUGAGGAGCUUAACACCUUCAUGCUUUUGCAUAUUCGUGCUCUUGGGUGUACUUGCCCGUGUGGUUGGUUAACAUCAAUUCCGGGCACCAUAAAAUGGCUGGAGGAAUGUAGUUUCGAUCUCGUAUUGAAGUGUUAUAGCCUUCGGUAGAUGUGAUGAUCGAGAUUGAGGAUUGCAACGGAUACCCUUCGGGGCUACCUGUCUGAUCUCUGAUCGUUGCUCUGGUGCCGAAAGCUUGCUUACGGUGUCAAAGUCGAUGGUCAAUAGGUUAGAAUGGGUUAAAUUCGUUAAGGAUGUUGACG
rnacentral:rRNA from 1 species